rnacentral:rRNA from 1 species
CUACGUGCCAGCAGCCGCGGUAAUACGUAGGUCCCGAGCGUUAUCCGGAUUUAUUGGGCGUAAAGCGAGCGCAGGCGGUUAGAUAAGUCUGAAGUUAAAGGCUGUGGCUUAACCAUAGUACGCUUUGGAAACUGUUUAACUUGAGUGCAGAAGGGGAGAGUGGAAUUCCAUGUGUAGCGGUGAAAUGCGUAGAUAUAUGGAGGAACACCGGUGGCGAAAGCGGCUCUCUGGUCUGUAACUGACGCUGAGGCUCGAAAGCGUGGGGAGCAAACAGGAUUAGAUACCCUGGUAGUCCACGCCGUAAACGAUGAGUGCUAGGUGUUGGGUCCUUUCCGGGACUCAGUGCCGCAGCUAACGCAUUAAGCACUCCGCCUGGGGAGUACGACCGCAAGGUUGAAACUCAAAGGAAUUGACGGGGGCCCGCACAAGCGGUGGAGCAUGUGGUUUAAUUCGGAGCAACGCGAAGAACCUUACCAGGUCUUGACAUCCCUCUGACCGCUCUAGAGAUAGAGCUUUC